CGAAAAUGGUUCGGUUGCCUACAACCUUGGCUUCAUAGCGAGUCUUGGUGACUACUCAGACUCUAGCGAUUCGGAAUCCUCAUCAAGCGACUCGGAUAUUUUACCAUCGCUUUUAAGUAACAUCGAAUCAACACCGACGAACUGAAACUUCAAAAAUCAAAUUCGGAAUUACAAGAAGGGCAUUCGCCAUCAUUUGGAUUUGACGUUAAGCUUUGGGAAAAUCGAAUGCUUUUAAGAUUGAACAAAAUGACAUUAGUAAAUAUGGCAUCAAGUUAACAGUUUGCAAAUUCCAUCAAUUGUAAGUUGUAAGUCAUGAUAAAUUUAAAAAUUGGAUCACGUAUUGUUUCAGCUGUGAAAUGAAAACUUGACAUUCGCGAUAGCUCAAAUAUUUCUUUGAAUAAAGGCACGUUUCGAAACAAA